AGAUGACCUUGGUUUGUCAUGAUGCGUAUUGUAUGUCAUAGGUCUUUAUGUAGCAUUAGCCCUCGUUCUAUAUUCUUUUCUCCUAACUACCUGUUGCGGAGAGUUAUGAUGCUCUCUAGGUCUAUUUAGUGUCCUUACUUUGUUGUCUCUCUGGGGUUUCUUAGGAGUGAAUCUAAAGUUAUUACUGUUAAUUCGUUUCCUAAUCGGGAAGUCUCUAUUGGGUCUUGUCUGGGUGUAUGGAGUCUUAUUGUACGUCCCUCUUUCAGUAUAUCUAAAAUGGUUUGUACCGUUUGGAUUUUUAUAUUUUGAAUAUGUCCUUACUCUAUUUUGUGCAUAGUUGUUUUUAU